ACAGGAGAACCUUAGUGAUGGGCUCAUUUUUGUAGAUGGGGAAAAGACCCGGCAGGCUGAGGGCCUGAGGACACAAAGCACAUCAGUGGCAGAGCGAGCCCCAGAGCUGAGGUUAUCUUUGCCUCAGCCCAAUUCUCUAAUAAACCCAUAUCCAUGUGUGGCAAAGUGCCAUCACUCUCUUGUCACAUCGAGCACAUCUCAGCUGGCCAUUCUUGGAUGAAGCAUUCAGCUAAGGGACCUCUAGCUAGAGGGGUGGAGGCAGAUCAAGAUUUGUGUCUUCAAAGCAGAUUUGUUUCAGAGAAGAGCUUAUCCCAAAAAGCCUGUCGCCGAUCCCCCCACCCCACCCCGCUCCAGAUGCCCUAUUCUCCUCCUGGAGAUCCCCAACUUGCAUGUGGCUUUCAGGCAGAGAGGAUGGUAGAAUACUAUAAAACUACAGAAAUCCUUCCCAUCCAUUAAUGCAAUCAGAGGGAAAGUCAAGAAAUGAGAUAUUAGAAGCAAGGUCCUGCCUUCAGAGAAAGAUGCAAUGUUUUUCUCAUAUGACAGAGGACACCUGCUUGCACUUAUACCAGCGUCAGUCAGAAGUAAUUCACCUGCAAUGAACAGAGCGGCAUAAGUGCUGAACCCACCGAAAACAGGAUCAGGCCCACAGGCUCUUUAAAGGACAAAGGCAAUAAUAUAUUCUGAGACUCGGCUCCCAUUUCACAACAGCCGGAUGGAAAGAAAGCGAAGCCUCCAAGUCUGCCACACUUCUCAGAGCUUCAGAGACACUAAAGAGAGUGUGAGAGUACCAAGUAUAGAGAAAGGUCAACCUUCCACCCCUCAAGAAACUCUAGCUACACUGGCACAGGAGUGACUGACAGGAAUGCUGCAGGCUCAGGUGUUUACAUGGGAUGAUUACGAGACAUCAGUAGGACAAGACUAUGAAAGCAGUUAAGAAAAUCCUAGAAUGCAUCAAGAAAGGCAUUUCCAGCAAGUAGUAAAAUACAAGUUACUUUGCACUAGGCAUCGAAAAUCUUUAAAUGCCAAGCUUGCAACAAUUUUUUUUGUCAUUUUUACCUUCUAAUUCUCCUCUCAAGUUGGAAAAAAACCUGAAGUUUCUUAAAGUGAAGAAUAACUAUUUUCUGCCACCACCAGUUGUGUUUAAGGCAGCUACGAUUAAUUAGAAGCAGCCUAGAUAUGUCACAGAGGACAGCCAAUCUUCUCCAGUUUGUCCACUACGUCUCUGACAGUAUUUCUUGAUUUCACUAUUGUUGAAUGUUAUUUUCUAUUUUUUCUAUUUUUUUCCUCCCUCAAUAUUCUUCCUAAUGGUUUCUAAAAAAAUGGUGUUAUCCAGGAUUGAAUUAAAAGUGUACAAACAGAGAAGACCCUCAAUGGAAGGCAGACCAUCACCAAGCAAUAAAGUCCAACAAUUAAAGCAUAAAAAGCCUGAGAAAGCUUAACGUGGAUAUGGAUUUCAAUCUAUCUCAGCAGCUGAUGUAUAAAUAAAUAAAAAGUGGUCCGAGUUAAAAAAUACAGAAGAGUGUCAAAAUAAAAAUAAGCAAAGUUAUUUCUAUUAAUAUUAACAUGCAGAACCACUGGCUUCCUAUGGAUUUAAAUUUAAGAGUAGGUUGACUUUUUAGCACUUGAGAGGAGUAAACUAGACUGAAGUUUUCCUUGUGGCGAGGUAACUUCUGCAAGUUCUCUCCCUUGUGUUGCUUCCGGCAGGUGAAACCUUCAUUUGAGGCACAUCUCUCCCUUGUUCUCUACCUGGCUGUCUGCUUUCACAAAACCUGAAGGCUUUUAACUGUAAGACCUCUGUUCCUCUUGGUUACACCUGCUGCAGGGUCAAUGAACACUGAGGAGCAAAAGCACAUACAGCCUGACUUUGUGAACUCACUCUCCACAGGAAACAAGGAAAAUUGCAUGGACUGACUGGAAAAUUGUUUUUCUCCUGCAGAUAUGUUUACUUUUUAAAUAAACAAUUAUUUUAUUUCUU